GGGAAUUUUCCGCAAUGGGCGAAAGCCUGACGGAGCAAUACCGCGUGAGGGAUGACGGCCUAUGGGUUGUAAACCUCUUUUUUCAGGGAGGAAUAAAUGACGUGUACCUGAAGAAUAAGCAUCGGCUAACUCCGUGCCAGCAGCCGCGGUAAGACGGAGGAUGCAAGUGUUAUCCGGAAUCACUGGGCGUAAAGCGUCUGUAGGUGGUUUGAUAAGUCAACUGUUAAAUCUCGAGGCUCAACCUCAAAAUGGCAGUCGAAGCUAUUAGACUAGAGUAUAGUAGGGGUAAAGGGAAUUUCCAGUGGAGCGGUGAAAUGCGUAGAGAUUGGAAAGAACACCGAUGGCGAAGGCACUUUACUGGGCUAUUACUAACACUCAGAGACGAAAGCUAGGGUAGCAAAUGGGAUUAGAUACCCCAGUAGUCA
rnacentral:rRNA from 1 species